rnacentral:rRNA from 1 species
AGAAUCAACGCUGGCGGCGUGCCUAACACAUGCAAGUCGAACGAGAAAGGGGCUUCGGCCCUGAGUAAAGUGGCGCACGGGUGAGUAACACGUGACUAACCUACCCUGGAGUGGGGAAUAACUGAGGGAAACCUUAGCUAAUACCGCAUAAUACCUACGAGUCAAAGGAGCAAUUCGCUUCAGGAGGGGUCGCGGCCGAUUAGUUAGUUGGCGGGGUAAUGGCCCACCAAGACAGUGAUCGGUAUCCGGCCUGAGAGGGCGCACGGACACACUGGAACUGAAACACGGUCCAGACUCCUACGGGAGGCAGCAGUGGGGAAUUUGCGCAAUGGGGGAAACCCUGACGCAGCAACGCCGCGUGGAGGAUGAAAUCCCUUGGGAUGUAAACUCCUUUCGAUCGGGACGAUUAUGACGGUACCGGAAGAAGAAGCCCCGGCUAACUUCGCGCCAGCAGCCGC